rnacentral:lncRNA from 1 species
GGCUUGUCCCCUUGACUUUUAUUUGUUCCCAGUUAAAACUGGUUAUUCCUCUUCCUACAUAUUUCUCAUUAUUCUUCUUCUUACACAGACCUCAACUCCCCUUAUAUAAACAUCCUCAGAAGAUGCUCCUGAUUUCAUGCAGUAGAUCAGCAACAAAAUGCAACCCACGUGUUUGCCUACCCCAGCUGAACUCCAUGUAGGGCAGGCGAGCAGGAUGCAGUGACAGAAGGCCAACCUGGGCUUAGGGGUCCCCUCCCAUUCACACCUGCUGAGCAUCAGCAUAGAGCAUGUGGGGCAGACCCGCAAUCACCGAACACAUCAGUUAACAAAUUGCUUCCUUCCACAAUUUGGCUACUAUUCCUGGAGUGCACCUGGAGCACCGAGGGCAACGCACCCUUACUGCAAGGCACAUGAGAUUGCAGUAUCUGUCCCUGAGAACAGCGGCUGCCUGCCUGCUUCUGGAGCGCUGCGGGUAAGCCGGCGUCUUCCUUUAACUCCGAUCACAGCCACGUUAAAGCUCAGCAUGGCAGCUUUUUUUUGUUUUUUUUUUACUUUUGAUUUUGUGGCGUUUUCCUUUUGUAAGCUGACCUCAUUGUCAUCUUCUUUCUGUAGUUUUCUCCAGAAGAAAUCUGUUGUCUUCAUUAGCGUGCAGCACUGCUGCCUGUUACAAAGCAACU